rnacentral:rRNA from 1 species
GCACUUUCAGUAGGGAGGAAGGUAGUGUAGUUAACACCUGCACUAUUUGACGUUUACCUACAGAAGAAGCACCGGCUAACUCCGUGCCAGCAGCCGCGGUAAUACGGAGGGUGCGAGCGUUAAUCGGAAUUACUGGGCGUAAAGCGCAUGCAGGCGGCCUGUUAAGUCAGAUGUGAAAGCCCGGGGCUUAACCUCGGAAUUGCAUUUGAAACUGGCAGGCUAGAGUCUUGUAGAGGGGGGUAGGAAUUUCAGGUGUAGCGGUGAAAUGCGUAGAGAUCUGAAGGAAUACCAGUGGCGAAGGCGGCCCCCUGGACAAAGACUGACGCUCAGAUGCGAAAGCGUGGGGAGCAAACAGGAUUAGAUACCCUGGUAG